rnacentral:lncRNA from 1 species
CGGCGGGCAGGUGGGCGCAGCCCCCGGGGGUCCCCUCCCGCAGCCCCCCGGGGGUCCCUUCUCGCAGCCGUCGGGGGUCCCCGCCCGCUCUCCGCCGGAGCCGGGGCCGGAUUACCGUGUUUGUUUGUUUACGGCCAUUAGCGCGGGGCCGGCUCCAGCACUCGGCACCCGCGAGACUAAUGGAGCAAUUAGCGGCCCCGCGGCUGAUAGCAUCGCCCCGAGCGAGGCCCCCGGGCCGGGCAGCGUGCUACCGGGCCGCCUGCGCCCGGGCCCCGGCGGCGGGGGGGCCGUGCGGGGCGGCUCCGCCCGCCAGCCGCGAUGUGCAGGGCUGCUGCCCCCCCGCCCCGGGCCGGGGGGGGCUCUUGGCUCCGCCGCAGCAUCCGCACGGCGAGCUCCAUCCAUUACAAUAAUCCCCUGUCUAAACAGAGCGCAGGAGCGGCCGGGACAACAAGGCCCCGCUGUAAACAGAGCUCAGGGGACGCCGCUAAUGAUAUAAAUAAAAUAACCAUUAAUAGCCCGGUGACCCCGGCCCAGCCGGCUUGGGAAAGCCCCGGAGCCGCAUCCCGGGGCUGACGCCCGCCGGCAGGUACCGGGGCUGCGCCCUCCCCUGGGUCCCGCACCGGGACCCCGCCGCUCGCCCCGGCCGUGCCCCCCGGCGCCCCCCGCCCCGGUGCGUAUGGGCCCGGGCAGGGCCGAGCAAGGCGCGGCCGUGCGGGGCCGCUGAGCUCCGGCCGGAGCCGUUUCCUCGCCUUGCCCCGCCGGGAACCGGGUCCGCUCUCAGCCCGCCGAAGCGGGCCCGAUCCGGCCCCACCGGGACAAAAGCGGGGGCCACCGGGGGUGCUGCCACGCGAGUCGUGUCCCGGCUGGGACCUGCCCUGUCCACCCGCGACGCCUGCGUCCCCCGAGCACCCGCCGGGGUCGGCAGCGGCAGGAGGGAGCGGGCCCCGGCCAGGCCGGCCCGGCGGUGGCAGGGAAGCGGGUCCCGGCGGGGCAACCGCUCCCGCCGCCUCCGAGCCGCCCCGGGGAGCCAGUCCCGCCCCGCCCGGGCUCCCCGUGCCCGCGGGCCGCGCCUGGCGCUCGGCCCGUCCGGGGUGCAGCUGCGGGCGGCAGCGCGCUGGCGCCAGGCGAGCCCACGGGGCCAAGGAGCGUGGGCAGAGCCGUCCGGGCCCGGUACCGGGCCCUCGGCACGGCGGCUGCAAAGUCAGAAGCUGGAAAGCACCCCUAAUUCCGCGUCCACCCAAAAGGGCCCAAAAGGCCGAGCACCGCUGCCUUGUCUCGCUCCGGUCCUUGCUUUUGCCUCUGCCCCUAUCCCUGCCCCGGGCUCCCGGGAGCGCGGCCCCGUGCACAGCCCCGGCCCUUUGCCGCGCCUCGGUGAGAGCCGCCGACCGGCAGCGGGGCCCUGCGGCGGGCGGGAGCGGGCCGAGACCCUCGGCGGCCGUAAGAGCCACACAACGCUCCUCGGUACCGGGGCAGCGGCCCGGUACAGCCGGGAAGCCGUGCGCGGAGUCGGGCCCCGAGGAGGCCCGGCUACGGCGAGCGCGUUUCCCGGUCCCCCGGCCGAACCGGGAGGGAGCGGGAAGCGGCGAGGAAGGAGAGAUUUACUGCGUGGGCUUCGCGGCGGGGAGCGAUCCGGUGCACCCGGGCCGGCGCCGGCUCCGCCGGGGGAACGGGAACCGGCCCCGCCGCGGGAUCGUGAGCACCGGAGCUGCGGCGUCUGCGCGGGACCUGCACCCCCGGCCCGGGGCUGCGCCGCCGGU